ensembl:lncRNA
GAGGAAAUCACAUCAGUGAAGGGAAAGCCAGCUCCUUUGUACUAUUUUUCAACCCUGCCUUGGGAGCCAAUAAUCUGUCAUCCCUUGAAUAAACAAGCACCUUAUCAUAUCACAAACAUUUAUUUAACCCUUUUCUCCUGAGCUUUUACCAGCCAAGCAAAGUGGCUGGGGGUGGGGGGGUAGCCCUAUCCCUAGACUACGCCAGCAGAAAGGACAAAUUUCCUGUGCAUUACACCCAAUCUGUAAAGUGUCAGGCUGCCCUUCUCCAGCCUCCAUGAAACGCAGCAGCUUGAAUCCCUGCAUUUCACAUCGCGGGUUCGAAUUCUCCUGCCCCCCGCCGCACCCCCGAGAUAUUCUUUGACUCUGACAUCAUCAGCAAAUGGAAUCGGCAAAGUAUGUACAUUUCCUCAGCUCCCACAAUAUCCAUGUUCUCUCAGUGGAUGUUUCUUGUUUUUCUUUUCCAGCGUUGCUCCCACACAAUGGGGCCAAUUUUUGUUCAGGACAAAAGAAAAUAUAAACAGAGCAUGGAUUUGGAAUAUGAGCAAGGCCUCCGAGCCUGAAGAAAUCUUCCGCCGCGGGGAAGGGCUGUGCUAUGCUCACCAUCUGCCAACAGCGUUGGGCCGACCAAGCGCCAGCCAGUACCUCCGCUUGCUUUGCCGGUGCCUCCAGAAGGCUGAUGGCUUAGACUCGUGAUCUUGUACUGAGCUACUGAGAUGCAAGUUGGCCUGUUCAAAGUCUACAGUCAAAUUCUGCCUCUACUGAAACUCCUGAGACUUUGGUCCACUUGGUCUGCUCUGGGAUUUUGCAUUGGCACAACAGCUGAAGAGAUUGACAGGCUGGGAUGAGAAGUGACCCAAGGAAAAGAGAAUAAAUGGAAGCAAUCAACAAU